AGUAACGCGUGGGUAACCUGCCUCAUACAGGGGGAUAACAGUUAGAAACGACUGCUAAUACCGCAUAAGCCCACGGCUCGGCAUCGAGCAGAGGGAAAAGGAGCAAUCCGCUUUGAGAUGGCCUCGCGUCCGAUUAGCUAGUUGGUGAGGUAAUGGCCCACCAAGGCGACGAUCGGUAGCCGGACUGAGAGGUUGAACGGCCACAUUGGGACUGAGACACGGCCCAG
rnacentral:rRNA from 1 species